rnacentral:rRNA from 1 species
UACGUAGGUGGCAAGCGUUGUCCGGAUUUAUUGGGUUUAAAGGGUGCGUAGGCGGCUUUGUAAGUCAGUGGUGAAAUAUGGCAGCUCAACUGUCAGGGUGCCAUUGAUACUGCAGAGCUUGAGUACAGAUGAGGUAGGCGGAAUUGACGGUGUAGCGGUGAAAUGCUUAGAUAUCGUCAAGAACACCGAUAGCGAAGGCAGCUUACUGGGCUGUAACUGACGCUGAGGCACGAAAGUGUGGGGAUCAAACAGGA